rnacentral:sRNA from 1 species
UGCUAAGUUAAACCCUUAACUCAUAUACGUUCCGAUUUAGUAUAGUCUUUACUUGUAUUAAUUUUCAAAAAUAUGGAAAAUUUGCGCUACACCACCGAAUAACCAUUCUAACUGACGAAAAAAAUCUAUAUUUGAUUUGUCCUUUUUGUAGAUUAAUUUUGUUUUAAUAUAAGUAUAAUUGAUAGAAGGGCUUCCAGGAUUUGGUAUUUUGUAUUUCUCA